ACUGGGAUAGUUCAGUCGGUAGAGCAUGAGGCUCUUAAUCUCAGGGUUCGAGCCCCACGUUGGGCAGUA